CUUGAGUGCAGAAGAGGGUAGUGGAACUCCAUGUGUAGCGGUGGAAUGCGUAGAUAUAUGGAAGAACACCAGUGGCGAAGGCGGCUACCUGGUCUGCAACUGACGCUGAGACUCGAAAGCAUGGGUAGCGAACAGGAUUAGAUACCCUGGUAGUCCAUGCCGUAAACGAUGAUUGCUAGGUGUUGGAGGGUUUCCGCCCUUCAGUGCCGGAGCUAACGCAUUAAGCAAUCCGCCUGGGGAGUACGACCGCAAGGUUGAAACUCAAAGGAAUUGACGGGGGCCCGCACAAGCGGUGGAGCAUGUGGUUUAAUUCGAAGCUACGCGAAGAACCUUACCAGGUCUUGACAUCUUGCGCCAACCCUAGAGAUAGG
rnacentral:rRNA from 1 species